AACACACACCAAACGACCCCUUAUAUCUCCCUCUCUCUCAUCCCUUCCAUUUUCCCCUAAAACCCUAGGCGCCGUUCCAAGCCUACCCUCUUUCCCAUGCCAAGAACGGCAAAAACACAGGAUGCCCAGAGAUUGUGCAGUCCUUGUACGACAAAAAAUGUGAAACAAUUAAUGUUUCAAUAUCACUUUUGCUCGAAAUCGUCCAAACACGGUAAUAAAUCCCUUCUUUUAAAUUUCUGAGUCAAACCUGUGAUUUUAUGUUAUUGUAUUGUUGUAUUGCAUUGUUACUUUUGCGAUUUCUCAUUAGUCCAUGGUUGUUGGUUCGGAUCGAUACAAAGCAAGACAGAUCUGAUCAUAUACACUCAUUUCUUUGUAGAAUCUAGCCGUUAAUUUCAAAGUCUCACAUUUUGCAUCUGAAAUCGGUUUAAGUACCACAUUGAAAUUUCAAGUCUUUGAAUGGACCUUGGGGUCCUCACCAUUUGAUAAGUUUUCACAACCUGAAAAAGGCUCUAGUUUUAAGUUAAAAACUUGAAAUAUGAGCUAUUAGUAUAAUUUUAGACUUUAGCCUAAUAAGGGUUCGAGUCUCUCUUAGUUUAAAGAUUUUUAUUUACUUUGUUCUUUUGUGUUUUUGUUGUUGAGUUUGAGAAUUGGAAGCAAGGGGUUCCAAAUUCAUUCUUGACAAAAGUUGCACAAACAAAAGCCAACCUCGCAACUUCUUUAAAAAAUUAUGGAGUCCGACGAAGGGAUAUAGAAGCUAGUAUACAAACGCAUAGAAGGCCAAGCCAUGUGCCCGCUUGAAUUUCACUUUCACUCUUGGAUAGCUAUAGCUACGGGGCUUUUCUGGCUUGAACGGGAAGAAAUCCAUGAGAGGAAAAAAAAGAGGGGGAUGCAGUUGAUCAAAGAAAUAAAUAUCGUACGUUCCCUCUCGGAACCGCCCUACUCCAAUUCAUGGUUAGUAGAGAUGUGAUUAGUUUAGAGACAGAUCAGGAAUGGAGAUGUUCGCCUUUGUUUGGAAUGAAGAUGGAUGAACAGGCACUUGAGCUUGGAACUGAUGAAAUUCGGGGAAUCACUUUCCACCCUUCUGUUUUUGAGGGGCUUCUUUCAGUUUCUUAGUAAGAAUGGGUGAGGGUAUUCUGCCUAAAUAGUAGACACAUGUAAUAAAUAAGAGAAUACUAAUUUCUCAAUUCUAACAAA